UACGGAGGGGGCUAGCGUUGUUCGGAAUUACUGGGCGUAAAGCGCACGUAGGUGGCUUUGUAAGUUAGAGGUGAAAGCCCGGGGCUCAACUCCGGAAUUGCCUUUAAGACUGCAUCGCUAGAACGUCGGAGAGGUAAGUGGAAUUCCGAGUGUAGAGGUGAAAUUCGUAGAUAUUAGGAAGAACACCAGUGGCGAAGGCGGCUCACUGGUCCGGUACUGACGCUGAGGUGCGAAAGCG
rnacentral:rRNA from 1 species